UAAUUGUCAGUGAUAUGGAGAAGUUUACACCUUGUCACUGGAGGUCAUCAAGGAUGUGCUGAGUUCUCUAUCACUCUCUCUCUUUCUCUCUCUCUCUCUCUCUCUCUCUCUCUUUCUCUCUCUGUCGUAAAAUCUGUGACUCCAGUCAGGCUCUGUAAGAUGUUUAUUGUGGGGAAUGCUGGUGCGCUAAACAUCAGCCUCGCAGGCCAGAGACUGGAGCGCGGCGUGGCUGGGGGUAUUUUUGGAUUGUGUGUGGGCAGACGCUCAGAAUCACUUUCUUUCUUUUCUUUCUGCUGUAAAGAAAUCUGCCCCACUGCUUUAGUCAUUCUGACCUGACAGAACUGUUUCUUCUCUUUACUUCACAAGUGUUAACCCUUUAAACCCUGUAGAACAAUAAAAACAUGUACAGGGGUUGGACAAUGAAACUGAAACACCUGGUUUCAGAGCACAAUAAUUGAUUGUGGUGACGGACAGUUCUGGUGGAAACAGGAGAGUUGAGGUGCACAUUGAAUUCUGUCGUGAUUUGAUCAGCCGUGGUUUUAUGUUUUUUGGAUACAAUCCGGGUUAGCACCCGAACAUCCCUUUCAGACAGCUUCCUCUUACAGCGUCCACAGUUAAUCCUGUUGGAUGUGGUUGGUCCUUUUUGGUGGUAUGCUGACAUUACCCUGGAUACCGUGGCUCUUGAUGCAUCACAAAGACUUGCUGUCUUGGUCACAGAUGCUCCAGCAAGACGUGCACCAACAAUUUGUCCUCUUUUGAACUCUGGUAUGUCACCCGUAAUAUUGUGUGCAUUGCAAUAUUUAGAGCAGAACUGUGCUCUUACCCUGCUAAUUGAACCUUCACACUCUGCUCUUACUGGUGCAAUGUGCAAUUAAUGAAGACUGACCACCAGGCUGCUCCAAUUUAGCCAUGAAACAUCCCACACUAAAAUGACGACAGGUGUUUCAGUUUCAUUGUCCAGCCCCUGUAGAUUCUGCUGCAUUCUGAUCAUCACUGUAUCAUCACAUCACAUUCUGCUCACCUGCUUAUAUAACAGGUUCACUACACCUGUUUAUAGAGUGCAGUUUAUAUCUCUCUUUUAGAUCUGAAUGAGGAGUGAGGAGACCCGGUCCAGGCUUGUGAUAUGACGUGUAAAUCUGUUUUUAUCACUUUUAAUUUGAAUGUUUUUAUUUUUCUAAUUUGGGUUUUUUGUUUUUUUUUCCUUUAUUUUGGAAGAUCAGUUAGUGAUCUCAGUGACAGAAUUAAGCCAAGUUUGUAAUUGUAUAAUAUUUACUGUAAGAUGUAGAACGUUCAAUAACUAUUAAAACUUUUCCCAAAAAAGA